ensembl:rRNA 5S_rRNA 5S ribosomal RNA
GAACAUGCCUGAUCUCAUCUGAUCUCAGAAGAUUAGC